GAUCUAAGCUUUUAAGGAAUACCUAGACUAAAUUUUAAAGGGCGUUAAACUAACGAUAUGCUUUUGUGAAAUAUUUUGUGAACAAAAGUUACCCUUUGGUAAAAGCCAAUAUUUUAUAACGUAGCGAAUUGAAACAUCUUAGUAGCUAUAGAUAAUAUUAAUUAAAAAAGAUUUCUUUAGUAGUGGUGAGCGAACCAGAAAAAAAUUAAUAUUUUGUAAAUUCAAAAAUUUAGAAUAUGUUUGAAUACAUAACCUAAGAAAGUGUUAGUCUUGUAUAAAUUUUAUUUGCAAAAUUUUUUAAAGUAGACUAAUUCAAGAUAUUUUAGUUGAAAUUAGGAGUACCGCCUUCUAAUCAAAAAUAAAGAUUUAGAUCGAUAGUGAACAAGUACUGUAAAGGAAAGGUGAAAAGACUCUAUGAGAGGUGAAAUAGAUUUUGAAUUUGAAAGCUUUAAAGCAGAUACAAAUAUUUAUAUUAUUUGUAUCGUACCUUUUGUAUAAUGGGUCAGCAAGUUUAUUAAAAUAGUAAGCUUAAACCGUUAGGUGUAGGCAUAGUUAAUGCAAAUUUUACAAUUUAAAAUUAUUUUAAUAAGACCCGAAACUGAGUGAUCUACUUAUGAGCAGGUUGAAUAACAUUUAAAACAUGUUAGGAGGACCGAACCCGUAUCUGUUGCAAAAGAUUGGGAUGACUUGUGAGUAGGGGUGAAAGGCCAAUCAAACUCAGAGAUAGCUGGUUCUCUGCGAAAUUUAUUUAAGUAAAAAUGUAAAUAAAAAAAUACUAGUAAAGGUAGAGCACUUAUUGGCUGAUGGGAACUUGACGGUUUUACUGAUGUCAGUUAAACUCCGAAUUAAACUAAGUUUUAAUUUACACGGCAAACUAUAGGUGAUAAGAUCUAUUAGUUUAAAGGGAAACAGCCCAGACUACUAGCUAAGGUCUUAAAAUUACAAUUAAGUGGGAAAGAUUUUUAUUUAUUAUGUCAGCUAGGAAGUGGGCCUAGAGGCAGCCAUCUUUUAAAGAAAGCGUAACAGCUCACUGGCUAAACUUAAUAUAUAAAUAAAAAUCUAAAAUUCAAUUAGACUAAAAUUGUUAAUACCGAAGCUGUAGAGUAAAUAAUUAAUUACUGGUAGCAGAGCAUUUUGUUUAUAAUGUAUAACUUUGUAAAAAGUUUUUUAAAUCAAAUUUGAAAAUGCUGACAUGAGUAACCUAAUAUAAUUAAAAAAUUAUAACUGAAAAUUUAAAGUUUCCUACGAACGAAUAAUUCACGUAGGGUUAAUCGGCUUCUAAAGUAAUAUAUGAAAAUAUAUGCUGAUGAAAAGAAUAUUAAUAUUUAUUCAUCUAUCUUAUAAAAAGCGACAAAGUUUCUACAUUAUUAUACUUUAAUCAUAAAGUUAAUUUAAUUUACUAGUAUAAUUAAGAAAUUUUCUAGAAAAAGCUAAGAUAGUAAAGACCGUACUUUAAACCGACACUGGUAAAUUAGUAGAAUAUAUAAAAGUUUUGGGGUAAUAGUAUUGAAGGAACUCGGCAAAAUAACUUCGUAACUUCGGGAGAAGAAGGGCUUAUUUUUUUAAUAAGUAUAAAAAAAGAGGGGAUAGCGACUGUUUAUUAAAAACACAGGACUCUGCUAAAUUGUAAAAUGAUGUAUAGGGUCUGACACCUGCCCGGUGCUGACAAGCGAAAUUUAAAAGUUUAAACGCUUUUAAUAUAAGUUCCAGCAAACGGCGGCUGUAACCAUAACGGUCCUAAGGUAGCGAAAUUCCUUGUCAGGUAAGUUCUGACCUGCAUGAAUGGUGUAACGACUUUCCCACUGUCUCCAAUACUAACCUAGUGAAAGUGAAAUCUCUGUUAAGAUGCAGCGUUGCAUCGGCUAGACGGAAAGACCCCGUGCACCUUUACUAUAUUUUUAUAUUGCUCUUGUAAACUUUUUGUAUAGGAUAAUUGUUAGUCGCUAUAAGCCCUCAGCGCCAGCUGAUUGGUAAGACAUCCUUGGAAUAACAAUCUUUAAUUUUACAUUAGCUAAGUUCGAAAAAAACAACAAUAUAUGAAGGGUAGUUUAACUGGGGCGGUUACCUCCUAAAAAGUAACGGAGGUGUGCGAUGGUAAGUAAAAUAUAAUUUGAUUAUAUUUUUAGCUCAAUGGCUUAAACUUGCCUGAUUGUAAGACCUACAGGUCAAACAAAGACGAAAGUCUGUCAUAGUGAUCCAAUAAUUUAUUGUGGAAUAGUUAUUGCUCAACGGAUAAAAGGUACGCCGGGGAUAACAGGCUUAUGACUCUUUAGAGUUCCUAUCGAUAGAGUUGUUUGGCACCUCGAUGUCGACUUAUCGCAUCCUGGAGCUGUAGUAGGUUCCAAGGGUUCGGCUGUUCGCCGAUUAAAGCGGUACAUGAGUUGGGUUUAGAACGUCGUGAGACAGUUUGGUCCCUAUCUACCGAUGCAUUUAGAAAUAAAAAAGAACUCAAUCCUAUUACGAGAGGACCGGAAAGUGUACACCUAUUGUGGUUCGAUUGCUUUAUUAUAGGCACAGUCGAGUAGCUACGUGUAUUUUUAUAACUGCUGAAAGCAUAUAAGCAGGAAAAUAAUCUUUUGAAUUUCUUUAAAAUAACGAUAGACUAUCGUUUU
rnacentral:rRNA from 1 species